AUUGAACGCUGGCGGCAGGCUUAACACAUGCAAGUCGAGCGGAGUGAUGGUGCUUGCACUAUCACUUAGCGGCGGACGGGUGAGUAAUGCUUAGGAAUCUGCCAUUUAGUGGGGGACAACAUUCCGAAAGGAAUGCUAAUACCGCAUACGUCCUACGGGAGAAAGCAGGGGAUCUUCGGACCUUGCGCUAAAUGAUGAGCCUAAGUCGGAUUAGCUAGUUGGUGGGGUAAAGGCCUACCAAGGCGACGAUCUGUAGCGGGUCUGAGAGGAUGAUCCGGCAAACUGGGACUGGGCAACGGCCCAGACUCCUACGGGAGGCAGCAGUGGGGAAUAUUGGACAAUGGGCGGAAGCCUGGUCCAGCCAUGCCGCGUGUGUGAAGAAGGCCUUGUGGUUGUAAAGCACUUUAAGCGAGGAGGAGGCUCUCCUAGUUAAUACCUAGGAAGAGUGGACGUUACUCGCAGAAUAAGCACCGGCUAACUCUGUGCCAGCCGCCGCAGUAACAC
rnacentral:rRNA from 1 species